rnacentral:rRNA from 1 species
UACGCAGGGGGCUAGCGUGGUUCGGAAUCACUGGGCGUAAAGCGCGUGUAGGCGGCAUGAUAAGCCGGGAGUGAAAUCCCGGGGCUUAACCCCGGAACUGCUCUCGAAACUGUCAAGCUCGAGUGUGACAGAGGAUGGUGGAAUUCCACAUGUAGAGGUGAAAUUCGUAGAUAUGUGGAGGAACACCGGUGGCGAAGGCGGCCAUCUGGGUCACUACUGACGCUGAGACGCGAAAGCGUGGGGAGCAAACAGG